UGGGGAAUUUUGGACAAUGGGGGAAACCCUGAUCCAGCCAUCCCGCGUGUGCGAUGAAGGCCUUCGGGUUGUAAAGCACUGUGGCAGGGAAGAAACGUCAUGGGUUAAUACCCCGUGAAACUGACGGUACCUGCAGAAUAAGCACCGGCUAACUACGUGCCAGCAGCCGCGGUAAUACGUAGGGUGCAAGCGUUAAUCGGAAUUACUGGGCGUAAAGCGUGCGCAGGCGGUUCGGAAAGAAAGAUGUGAAAUACCAGGGCUCAACUUUGGAACUGCAUUUUUAACUACCGGGCUAGAGUGUGUCAGAGGGAGGUGGAAUUCCGCGUGUAGCAGUGAAAUGCGUAGAUAUGCGGAGGAACACCGAUGGCGAAGGCAGCCUCCUGGGAUAACACUGACGCUCAUGCACGAAAGCGUGGGGAGCAAACAGG
rnacentral:rRNA from 1 species